UGAGGGAUAUUGCACAAUAGGCGCAAGCCUGAUGCAGCAACGCCGCGUGCGGGACGAAGGCCUUCGGGUCGUAAACCGCUUUUCUGGGGAAAGAGCAAGGACGGUACCUCAGGAAUAAGUCUCGGCUAACUACGUGCCAGCAGCCGCGGUAAAACGUAGGAGGCGAGCGUUAUCCGGAUUUACUGGGCGUAAAGCGCACGCAGGCGGCUCUGUGAGUCGGACGUGAAAGCUCCCGGCUUAACCGGGAGAGGCCGUUCGAUACUGCGGGGCUUGAGGUAGGGAGAGGAAUGCGGAAUUCCCGGUGUAGUGGUGGAAUGCGUAGAUAUCGGGAGGAACACCUGUGGCGAAAGCGGCAUUCUGGCCCUCACCUGACGCUGAAGUGCGAAAGCGUGGGUAGCAAACAG
rnacentral:rRNA from 1 species